AUUGAACGCUGGCGGCAGGCCUAACACAUGCAAGUCGAGCGGAUGAAGGGAGCUUGCUCCUGGAUUCAGCGGCGGACGGGUGAGUAAUGCCUAGGAAUCUGCCUGGUAGUGGGGGAUAACGUCCGGAAACGGGCGCUAAUACCGCAUACGUCCUGAGGGAGAAAGUGGGGGAUCUUCGGACCUCACGCUAUCAGAUGAGCCUAGGUCGGAUUAGCUAGUUGGUGGGGUAAAGGCCUACCAAGGCGACGAUCCGUAACUGGUCUGAGAGGAUGAUCAGUCACACUGGAACUGAGACACGGUCCAGACUCCUACGGGAGGCAGCAGUGGGGAAUAUUGGACAAUGGGCGAAAGCCUGAUCCAGCCAUGCCGCGUGUGUGAAGAAGGUCUUCGGAUUGUAAAGCACUUUAAGUUGGGAGGAAGGGCAGUAAGUUAAGACCUUGCUGUUUUGACGUUACCAACAGAAUAAGCACCGGCUAACUUC
rnacentral:rRNA from 1 species